UGGGAUAGCUCAGUUGUAGAGCAUGAGACUCUUAAUCUCAUGGGACAUUGUUUUGAGAUCCAUGUUGGGAGAAAAG